UUAGUAUUUUGUAAAUAAUCGGGAUGUUACUAAUUGAUUUUAAGUGUUUAAUUUCAGGAAAAUAAAUAUUCCUAAAGUUGGAUUAAAUCAAGCUUAUUUGGGCUUAAUCAGAUAGAAAUUCGGAUUUUAUGGAUAGACUGCAAAGCAAAUCUUGUUUGGGCCAUAACUUGAGUUCUGGACAUCAGAAUUGGGCGAUUCAAC
rnacentral:lncRNA from 1 species